GUGGGGAAUCUUGCGCAAUGGGCGAAAGCCUGACGCAGCCAUGCCGCGUGAAUGAUGAAGGUCUUAGGAUUGUAAAAUUCUUUCACCGGGGACGAUAAUGACGGUACCCGGAGAAGAAGCCCCGGCUAACUUCGUGCCAGCAGCCGCGGUAAUACGAAGGGGGCUAGCGUUGCUCGGAAUUACUGGGCGUAAAGGGCGCGUAGGCGGACAGUUUAGUCAGAGGUGAAAGCCCAGGGCUCAACCUUGGAAUUGCCUUUGAUACUGGCUGUCUUGAGUACGGGAGAGGUGAGUGGAACUCCGAGUGUAGAGGUGAAAUUCGUAGAUAUUCGGAAGAACACCAGUGGCGAAGGCGACACACUGGCUCAUUACUGACGCUGAGGCGCGAAAGCGUGGGGAGCAAACAGGAUUAGAUACCCCAGUAGUCC
rnacentral:rRNA from 1 species